rnacentral:rRNA from 1 species
GGCGGACGGGUGAGUAGCGCGUGACCGACCUGCCCGCGAGUGGGGGCCAACCCCGGGAAACCGGGGCUGUUACCGCAUGCGUCCGGUCGCCGGUGGGGCGGCCGGGGAAAGCCCUUUCGGGGGCGCUCGCGGAGGGGGUUGCGUCCGAUUAGCUAGUCGGCGGGGUGACGGCCCACCGAGGCGACGAUCGGUCGCUGGUCUGAGAGGACGGCCAGCCACAGGGGGACUGAGACACGGCCCCCACACCUACGGGUGGCAGCAGCGAGGGAUUUUCGGCAAUGGGCGCAAGCCUGACCGAGCAACGCCGCGUGCGGGACGACGCCCCUCGGGGUGUAAACCGCUUUUGGUCGGGGCGAAGCUGACGGUACCGAUCGAAUCAGUCUCGGCUAACUACGUGCCAGCCGCCGCGG